rnacentral:rRNA from 1 species
AAAUUGAAGAGUUUGAUCAUGGCUCAGAUUGAACGCUGGCGGCAGGCCUAACACAUGCAAGUCGAGCGGUAGCACAGGAGAGCUUGCUCUCUGGGUGACGAGCGGCGGACGGGUGAGUAAUGUCUGGGAAACUGCCUGAUGGAGGGGGAUAACUACUGGAAACGGUAGCUAAUACCGCAUAACGUCUUCGGACCAAAGUGGGGGACCUUCGGGCCUCAUGCCAUCAGAUGUGCCCAGAUGGGAUUAGCUAGUAGGUGGGGUAAUGGCUCACCUAGGCGACGAUCCCUAGCUGGUCUGAGAGGAUGACCAGCCACACUGGAACUGAGACACGGUCCAGACUCCUACGGGAGGCAGCAGUGGGGAAUAUUGCACAAUGGGCGCAAGCCUGAUGCAGCCAUGCCGCGUGUAUGAAGAAGGCCUUCGGGUUGUAAAGUACUUUCAGCGAGGAGGAAGGCGUUAAGGUUAAUAACCUUAGCGAUUGACGUUACUCGCAGAAGAAGCACCGGCUAACUCCGUGCCAGCAGCCGCGGUAAUACGGAGGGUGCAAGCGUUAAUCGGAAUUACUGGGCGUAAAGCGCACGCAGGCGGUCUGUCAAGUCGGAUGUGAAAUCCCCGGGCUCAACCUGGGAACUGCAUUCGAAACUGACAGGCUAGAGUCUUGUAGAGGGGGGUAGAAUUCCAGGUGUAGCGGUGAAAUGCGUAGAGAUCUGGAGGAAUACCGGUGGCGAAGGCGGCCCCCUGGACAAAGACUGACGCUCAGGUGCGAAAGCGUGGGGAGCAAACAGGAUUAGAUACCCUGGUAGUCCACGCCGUAAACGAUGUCGACUUGGAGGUUGUGCCCUUGAGGCGUGGCUUCCGGAGCUAACGCGUUAAGUCGACCGCCUGGGGAGUACGGCCGCAAGGUUAAAACUCAAAUGAAUUGACGGGGGCCCGCACAAGCGGUGGAGCAUGUGGUUUAAUUCGAUGCAACGCGAAGAACCUUACCUACUCUUGACAUCCAGAGAACUUAGCAGAGAUGCUUUGGUGCCUUCGGGAACUCUGAGACAGGUGCUGCAUGGCUGUCGUCAGCUCGUGUUGUGAAAUGUUGGGUUAAGUCCCGCAACGAGCGCAACCCUUAUCCUUUGUUGCCAGCGGUUCGGCCGGGAACUCAAAGGAGACUGCCAGUGAUAAACUGGAGGAAGGUGGGGAUGACGUCAAGUCAUCAUGGCCCUUACGAGUAGGGCUACACACGUGCUACAAUGGCGCAUACAAAGAGAAGCGACCUCGCGAGAGCAAGCGGACCUCAUAAAGUGCGUCGUAGUCCGGAUUGGAGUCUGCAACUCGACUCCAUGAAGUCGGAAUCGCUAGUAAUCGUAGAUCAGAAUGCUACGGUGAAUACGUUCCCGGGCCUUGUACACACCGCCCGUCACACCAUGGGAGUGGGUUGCAAAAGAAGUAGGUAGCUUAACCUUCGGGAGGGCGCUUACCACUUUGUGAUUCAUGACUGGGGUGAAGUCGUAACAAGGUAACCGUAGGGGAACCUGCGGUUGGAUCACCUCCUUACCUUAAAGAA